UCGUGGCCUGGCAAAGCCCAGUCGAGUCCCGUGAGUCCGGGCAAGCACUGCUAUCGAGUAGGUGGCAUCGUGGUGGUGGUGGUGGUGGUGGAGGUGGUGGUGUUAGGCGUCGUCCGGGACCGAGGAGAGAGAGAGAAAGAGAGAGAUUCCUCCGAGAGAGAACCGCCAUCGAAUACCGCUGCCGCCGCCGCCGUUGUCGUCAUCACCGUCGUCGUCGUAAUAAUUAUAAUCGUAAUCGUGAUCGUUGUUGCCAUCUUCGUCAGCGUCUUCGUGUUCAUCGUUCAUCGCCGUGCCACCGCCGUCGAGGCGGUGCGUCGUCGUCGCACGCUCGAUGCCAAAGCGGCGACAUCUGUUCCCGCGACGGAACGUCGUUUCGCGCGUUGCCUCCGCCACGCACCCGGUCGCGGAUUACCCGGAAAUCAGCAAUUGCCUGUCCGCCGAGGAGACCUGCCCCCUGCGGCGUAUGUAAAGGGACGAGAGCGGAACGCGCGUGUACGCAGCCGGGAGGAAUCGAACGGCUGCACGCGCGCGCGCGCGAGCGCGCGCGAUGAUCCUGUGCGGCUUACGACUGUUUCGUGAGUGCGAGUGAGACGGACGAACGAGGAGGAGAUAGAGUGAAACCCUGAAACUUGAAGUGUACACGCAUACACGCGCGCGAACGCGCGUGCGUGUCGGACCGUCGUCACCGGUGAGAACGACGAGCGACGAGGAUUGUUUGUGAAGAAAAAGAGCAGCGAGAAUCACGUUCGAGUUGUGAUGCUGGGUUCCCAGGUACCAUCGGGUUCCUCGUGGUGAUAUCAAGUGCUUCGCUACGUAUAUAGUGCGUAUAUCUAUACGAGAGAAUAAGAGAGAAACAAAAAAAAAAGAGAAAAGGGAAGAAAAGGGAGAAAAGCUCGAGCGCCGCCGGAACGAUCGCGAAUGUGCAACGCGAUCGGAGUCACGAGGCGCGACCCGGAAUAACGAUAUAACAGCAAGCCCAGCGGCCGUAUGUGAGUGUACAUUCGCCACUCGCGGAACACGAGGAACGUGUCGAGAAAACGGGGGGUCCCGAGUGACGUUAGGGGGGGCGCGUGCAGAACAGACUUUGCCCCCCACCCCUGCGCCUAUAACCGGCAUCCUUGGAGGCUCGCCGCGGCGUUCAGGAGAGAGGAUAGCUCGUCGAUUUUGCAGUGCGAUUUAGGCCUGGGCGAGGCCCAAGGAAGAAGCCGCCUCCGCCACAAUCGCCGGACAGC